rnacentral:rRNA from 1 species
GGGUCAGUAGGUUGGUCGUGCCACCGGUACGUAGUGGUGUGAGUGAUUCCUCCUUCCUGAAGAACCGUAAUGCCAUUAAUUUGGUGUUGCGGGGAAACAGGACUGUUACUUUGAAAAAAUUAGAGUGUUUAAAGCAAGCUAACGCUUGAAUACAUUAGCAUGGAAUAAUGAAAUAGGACGAUCGAUCCUAUUUUGUUGGUUUCUAGGAUUGACGUA